ACAGCUGCCCGCUUGUUACUCACCCCUCUGUCUCUUGUGUGUGUAAUUCACUGUCACCCAGCUCCCCAGUGCCGCAGACAUAACAACUGGCGAUGAGGUGACAAGUUCUCAUGUGAUAUUCAUUGUUUUAUUCUCUUUGUCAAGAAAAGUCCACCUGCAACACUGGCGGUGUAGCACUGUGUAAUGUGGGUGAGUGAAAAGAAGAUGCCAUGAGAAAACAGCCACAGGAAGUGUGGACACAAAGACUGCUAUUGCGUGAUCAUGCAGUUGGAUGGGGUGACCGUGAGGAUGCAGGUGGACAUGGGUGUUGCAGUAUCACUGGCAUCAGAGACAGUUUACCAGGAGAAAUUGCAGCACCUCACCCAGAAGGGGCAAGGUUGACUUUAAAGACCUACAUUGGAUGACCAACAGAAUCAACAAACUCAUCCGUAAGGCCAGUGAUGUUGUGGGGAUGGAACUGGACUCUCUGACGGUGGUGUCUGAAAAGAGGAUGCUGUCCAAGUUGCAUGCCAUCUUGGACAAUGUCUCCCAUCCACUACAUAAUGUACUGGUUGGGCACAGGAAUACAUUCAGCCAGAGACUCAUUCCACCGAGAUGCAGCACAGAGCGUCAUAGAAAGUCAUUUCUGCCUGUGGCCAUCAAACUUUACAACUCCUCCCUUGGAGGGUCAGACACCCUGAGCCAAUAGAC